rnacentral:rRNA from 1 species
AGAGUUUGAUCCUGGCUCAGGACGAACGCUGGCGGCGUGCCUAAUACAUGCAAGUAGAACGCUGAAGAGAGGAGCUUGCUCUUCUUGGAUGAGUUGCGAACGGGUGAGUAACGCGUAGGUAACCUGCCUUGUAGCGGGGGAUAACUAUUGGAAACGAUAGCUAAUACCGCAUAACAGUGGAUGACACAUGUCAUUUAUUUGAAAGGGGCAAUUGCUCCACUACAAGAUGGACCUGCGUUGUAUUAGCUAGUAGGUGAGGUAACGGCUCACCUAAGCGACGAUACAUAGCCGACCUGAGAGGGUGAUCGGCCACACUGGGACUGAGACACGGCCCAGACUCCUACGGGAGGCAGCAGUAGGGAAUCUUCGGCAAUGGGGGCAACCCUGACCGAGCAACGCCGCGUGAGUGAAGAAGGUUUUCGGAUCGUAAAGCUCUGUUGUAAGUCAAGAACGAGUGUGAGAGUGGAAAGUUCACACUGUGACGGUAGCUUACCAGAAAGGGACG